rnacentral:rRNA from 1 species
AUUGAACGCUGGCGGCAGGCUUAACACAUGCAAGUCGAGCGGAGAGAGGUAGCUUGCUACUGAUCUUAGCGGCGGACGGGUGAGUAAUGCUUAGGAAUCUGCCUAUUAGUGGGGGACAACAUUUCGAAAGGAAUGCUAAUACCGCAUACGUCCUACGGGAGAAAGCAGGGGAUCUUCGGACCUUGCGCUAAUAGAUGAGCCUAAGUCGGAUUAGCUAGUUGGUGGGGUAAAGGCCUACCAAGGCGACGAUCUGUAGCGGGUCUGAGAGGAUGAUCCGCCCCACGGGGACGGAGACACGGCACAGACUCCUACGGGAGGCAGCAGUGGGGAAUAUUGGACAAUGGGCGCAAGCCUGAUCCAGCCAUGCCGCGUGUGUGAAGAUGGCCUUAUGGUUGUAAAGCACUUUAAGCGAGGAGGAGGCUACUUUAGUUAAUAACUAGAGAUAGUGGACGUUACUCGCAGAAUAAGCACCGGCUAACUCUGUGCCAGCAGCCGCCGUAAAAC